rnacentral:rRNA from 1 species
UUAAGCGACUAAGCGUACACGGUGGAUGCCCUGGCAGUCAGAGGCGAUGAAGGACGUGCUAAUCUGCGAUAAGCGUCGGUAAGGUGAUAUGAACCGUUAUAACCGGCGAUUUCCGAAUGGGGAAACCCAGUGUGUUUCGACACACUAUCAUUAACUGAAUCCAUAGGUUAAUGAGGCGAACCGGGGGAACUGAAACAUCUAAGUACCCCGAGGAAAAGAAAUCAACCGAGAUUCCCCCAGUAGCGGCGAGCGAACGGGGAGCAGCCCAGAGCCUGAAUCAGUGUGUGUGUUAGUGGAAGCGUCUGGAAAGGCGCGCGAUACAGGGUGACAGCCCCGUACACAAAAAUGCACAUGCUGUGAGCUCGAUGAGUAGGGCGGGACACGUGGUAUCCUGUCUGAAUAUGGGGGGACCAUCCUCCAAGGCUAAAUACUCCUGACUGACCGAUAGUGAACCAGUACCGUGAGGGAAAGGCGAAAAGAACCCCGGCGAGGGGAGUGAAAAAGAACCUGAAACCGUGUACGUACAAGCAGUGGGAGCACGCUUAGGCGUGUGACUGCGUACCUUUUGUAUAAUGGGUCAGCGACUUAUAUUCUGUAGCAAGGUUAACCGAAUAGGGGAGCCGAAGGGAAACCGAGUCUUAACUGGGCGUUAAGUUGCAGGGUAUAGACCCGAAACCCGGUGAUCUAGCCAUGGGCAGGUUGAAGGUUGGGUAACACUAACUGGAGGACCGAACCGACUAAUGUUGAAAAAUUAGCGGAUGACUUGUGGCUGGGGGUGAAAGGCCAAUCAAACCGGGAGAUAGCUGGUUCUCCCCGAAAGCUAUUUAGGUAGCGCCUCGUGAAUUCAUCUCCGGGGGUAGAGCACUGUUUCGGCAAGGGGGUCAUCCCGACUUACCAACCCGAUGCAAACUGCGAAUACCGGAGAAUGUUAUCACGGGAGACACACGGCGGGUGCUAACGUCCGUCGUGAAGAGGGAAACAACCCAGACCGCCAGCUAAGGUCCCAAAGUCAUGGUUAAGUGGGAAACGAUGUGGGAAGGCCCAGACAGCCAGGAUGUUGGCUUAGAAGCAGCCAUCAUUUAAAGAAAGCGUAAUAGCUCACUGGUCGAGUCGGCCUGCGCGGAAGAUGUAACGGGGCUAAACCAUGCACCGAAGCUGCGGCAGCGACGCUGAUGCGUUGUUGGGUAGGGGAGCGUUCUGUAAGCCUGCGAAGGUGUGCUGUGAGGCAUGCUGGAGGUAUCAGAAGUGCGAAUGCUGACAUAAGUAACGAUAAAGCGGGUGAAAAGCCCGCUCGCCGGAAGACCAAGGGUUCCUGUCCAACGUUAAUCGGGGCAGGGUGAGUCGACCCCUAAGGCGAGGCCGAAAGGCGUAGUCGAUGGGAAACAGGUUAAUAUUCCUGUACUUGGUGUUACUGCGAAGGGGGGACGGAGAAGGCUAUGUUGGCCGGGCGACGGUUGUCCCGGUUUAAGCGUGUAGGCUGGUUUUCCAGGCAAAUCCGGAAAAUCAAGGCUGAGGCGUGAUGACGAGGCACUACGGUGCUGAAGCAACAAAUGCCCUGCUUCCAGGAAAAGCCUCUAAGCAUCAGGUAACAUCAAAUCGUACCCCAAACCGACACAGGUGGUCAGGUAGAGAAUACCAAGGCGCUUGAGAGAACUCGGGUGAAGGAACUAGGCAAAAUGGUGCCGUAACUUCGGGAGAAGGCACGCUGAUAUGUAGGUGAAGUCCCUUGCGGAUGGAGCUGAAAUCAGUCGAAGAUACCAGCUGGCUGCAACUGUUUAUUAAAAACACAGCACUGUGCAAACACGAAAGUGGACGUAUACGGUGUGACGCCUGCCCGGUGCCGGAAGGUUAAUUGAUGGGGUUAGCCGCAAGGCGAAGCUCUUGAUCGAAGCCCCGGUAAACGGCGGCCGUAACUAUAACGGUCCUAAGGUAGCGAAAUUCCUUGUCGGGUAAGUUCCGACCUGCACGAAUGGCGUAAUGAUGGCCAGGCUGUCUCCACCCGAGACUCAGUGAAAUUGAACUCGCUGUGAAGAUGCAGUGUACCCGCGGCAAGACGGAAAGACCCCGUGAACCUUUACUAUAGCUUGACACUGAACAUUGAGCCUUGAUGUGUAGGAUAGGUGGGAGGCUUUGAAGUGUGGACGCCAGUCUGCAUGGAGCCGACCUUGAAAUACCACCCUUUAAUGUUUGAUGUUCUAACGUUGACCCGUAAUCCGGGUUGCGGACAGUGUCUGGUGGGUAGUUUGACUGGGGCGGUCUCCUCCUAAAGAGUAACGGAGGAGCACGAAGGUUGGCUAAUCCUGGUCGGACAUCAGGAGGUUAGUGCAAUGGCAUAAGCCAGCUUGACUGCGAGCGUGACGGCGCGAGCAGGUGCGAAAGCAGGUCAUAGUGAUCCGGUGGUUCUGAAUGGAAGGGCCAUCGCUCAACGGAUAAAAGGUACUCCGGGGAUAACAGGCUGAUACCGCCCAAGAGUUCAUAUCGACGGCGGUGUUUGGCACCUCGAUGUCGGCUCAUCACAUCCUGGGGCUGAAGUAGGUCCCAAGGGUAUGGCUGUUCGCCAUUUAAAGUGGUACGCGAGCUGGGUUUAGAACGUCGUGAGACAGUUCGGUCCCUAUCUGCCGUGGGCGCUGGAGAACUGAGGGGGGCUGCUCCUAGUACGAGAGGACCGGAGUGGACGCAUCACUGGUGUUCGGGUUGUCAUGCCAAUGGCACUGCCCGGUAGCUAAAUGCGGAAGAGAUAAGUGCUGAAAGCAUCUAAGCACGAAACUUGCCCCGAGAUGAGUUCUCCCUGACCAUUUAAGGGUCCUGAAGGAACGUUGAAGACGACGACGUUGAUAGGCCGGGUGUGUAAGCGCAGCGAUGCGUUGAGCUAACCGGUACUAAUGAACCGUGAGGCUUAACCUU